CGCGUAGGCGGCCGACCAAGUCGGAGGUGAAAUCCCUCGGCUCAACUGAGGAACUGCCUCCGAUACUGGCCGGCUUGAGUCCCGGAGAGGGUAGUGGAAUUCCGAGUGUAGCGGUGAAAUGCGUAGAGACUCGGAAGAACACCAGUGGCGAAGGCGGCUACCUGGACGGGUACUGACGCUGCAGCGCGAAAGCUAGGGGAGCAAACAGGAUUAGAUACCCUGGUAGUCCUAGCUGUAAACGAUGGGCACUUGGUGUUGCGGGUAUCGACCCCUGCAGUGCCGAAGCUAACGCAUUAAGUGCCCCGCCUGGGGAGUACGGUCGCAAGGCUGAA
rnacentral:rRNA from 1 species